rnacentral:rRNA from 1 species
AUUGAACGCUGGCGGCAGGCCUAACACAUGCAAGUCGAACGAGUGGGGGAGGGGUGAGUAAUGUCUGGGAAACUGCCUGAGGGAGGGGGAUACCUACUGGAAACGGUAGCUAAUACGGCAUACCAUCGGAUGUGCCCAGAUGGGAUUAGCUUGUUGGUGGGGUAACGGCUCACCAAGGCGACGAUCCCUAGCUGGUCUGAGAGGAUGACCAUCCACACUGGAACUGAGACACGGUCCAGACUCCUACGGGAGGCAGCAGUGGGGAAUAUUGCACAAUGGGCGCAAGCCUGAUGCAGCCAUGCCGCGUGUGUGAAGAAGGCCUUCGGGUUGUAAAGCACUUUCAGCGGGGAGGCGUUACCCGCAGAAGAAGCACCGGCUAACUCCGUGCCAGCAGCCGCGGUAAUUC